GACAGAGGGUGCAAACGUUGUUCGGAAUUACUGGGCGUAGAGCGAGUGUAGGCGGUUUGGAAAGUCGGAUGUGAAAGCCCCGGGCUCAACCCGGGAAGUGCACUCGAUACUCCCAAGCUAGAGUAUCGGAGAGGUUGGCGGAAUUCUCGGUGUAGAGGUGAAAUUCGUAGAUAUUCGGAAGAACACCAGUGGCGAAGGCGACUGACUGGACAUGUAUUGACGCUGAGGUGCGAAAGCGUGGGGAGCAAACAGG
rnacentral:rRNA from 1 species